rnacentral:lncRNA from 1 species
CAAACAUCAUGCUGGGACAAGAUCCCACGAGAUCAGCCAGCCCUGGGACUUGGCGGGGAGCAUGCGUGAGCAAGCGUGCGGGGCACGCUGCCUCCUCUCCCACGGCUGGUCUCAGGCACAGCUGUGACGUGGAUGUGCUUGGUCUUUAGUGUCUCUUCUGGGCUGCCUGCUCUGCUAUGGGGCUAACAGCUCCCACUGGCCCCAGGCACAUCUGCUCCUCCUCUGCCCCAGCUUCUCUCGUCCUGGCUGCAUCCGGCUGGCCUCUUCUUUUCCCUGGGCCAAUAUUUCCAUCUGCUUCAUCCCCAGGGGCCUUCCCAUCUGCUUCCCCUCCCUGGGAUCCAGGAGUGGAAUAAGCUUCUUGUUAGACGACAGCGCCUCAGACCUCAGCAUCCAUCUGUUCAUCCUGAAUCUGGAACACUUUAUCCAUUGAAGGACUUAAACAGGAGUUGGAAAGAGCUCAGCAAGGCUGGCCAGAGACUCAAAGAACAUUUGGCCCAAGAAAAUCCCCAAAGAGAAAGAGCUGGUGAAAGGGAGGCUGAAAUCCUUGUGGCCACCUCCCACAGAGCAGGGAGGGUAAGAAGGGCUGAUACAAGGAGGAUCUGGGUCAGACAGGAGGUUGCCUGUAUGUGCUGGUGAGGAUGGAGCUGAUGAGAUUUCAAUCUCCAGCAAUAAAACACUGGAGCAAGCAGCUUGGGUCAAGACUGGAAGGUGUGCUGAGGAAUUUGUUUGGUGGAAAACCUUUGGUUGGGAGACAAAGUUUUACCUCUUUUCUUAAUGGAUGGCUUUUUUGUUGUUAAAUUUUUGUUGUGGAAAUGCAGUUGGCUCUCUGCAAGUUAAACAAACCAUAGAUUGAAAUUAUUUUUACAAUUACAUCUAUAUUGAACAUGUACAAACUUUUCUUGGGAAAAUAUUGUAGUAAGUAUUAUAGGCAAUCUAAUGAGGACUUCAAAUAUAUAGGAGGAUGUGCAUACAUUAUAUGCUAAUCUUAUAUCAUUUUAUAUAAGGAACUUGAGCAUCUGCAGAUUUUGGUAUCUAUGAGGGAUCCUGGAACCAAAUCCCAUGGUUACUCAGACAUGGCUGUAUGUCAUGCAUUCAUAAAAUCCAACCGAAGGGAUGAAUUUUCACAAAUGGAACCCACCCAUGUAGCCAGCAUCCCCUCAGAGAAACAAUAUGACUGACAUUUUUAAAUGCCCCCUGCCCUGUCUAGGCCCUCUUUCAGUUACUACCUUCUCAAAGGUGACCACUAUCCUAAUUUCUAAUUGUAUAUGCUGUUAAUUUUGUCUGUCCUUGAAAUCCAUACAAAUAGAAUCAUUCAGUGUAUUUUUUGGGUGUUUUUCAACAUUGUAAGUCUUGUGUGUUGUGGUAGUUCAUUAUUUUUAUUGCUGAA